CUGUCUCUCCUGAUUACUCAGAAGGUCAAAUAAACUUAGUUUCAGCUUGGUCUUGUGGAAGGGUUACUGAUGAACAAAAUUACUGUUCAGGAUAGAGACAUCCAGUGGCUUCUAUGUCCAGGCCCAUUCCCAGGAACCACAUUUCCAGAGGGGCCUCAACCCCUGAGGCCUCAACUGGCCCCUUUCCAGGUAUCCAAGAACAAAUCACAAACAAGCAGUGGGGAACAAAAACCAGCCUGACCUCAGCACCUGCUCUUACCCCAAAGGGAGAUGAGGGCUGCUGGCAUUGGUCCUGGCUCAGGAAGAGGAAAGCUGCACAACCAGUCUUUGUGUGUGUGUGCAAAUCUCUGUGUGUUCACUUGUGAAUACAGUUUCAUUAGGGGAGGGUUCACUUUUGUUAUGCGUGUGAUCAGUACAUAAUAAAUAUAUGUUUUCUUUUUUUUUUUUAGAGACAGGGUUUCACUCUGUCACCCAGGCUGGAGCUCAGUGGUGGUAAUCACAGCUUACCUCAGCCUCUACCUCCUGGGCUGAAGCAAUCGGCCUCCCAAGUAGCUGGGACUACAGGCCCACUCCAUCACGCCCGGCUUUUUUUAUUUUUUGUAUAGACGGGGUCUCCCCAUGUUGCCCAGGCUGGUCUGGAACUCUUGGGCUCCAGUGAUCCUCUCACUUCAGCCUCCCAAAGUGCUGGGAUUAUAGGCAUGAGCCACCACGCUGGGCCUAUAUUUCAUUUUAAAACAACGAAGAAUGUUCUCCUUCCUCACAUAUAUCAAAUUCGGGGGGUACCAAAUCUCUAAUAUUAUCCCAAUGAUUUUUUUUAUAACCAGGGUAUCACAAUUCCUUUCAGAAAGGGUUCUUUAGCCGCUCACAUCACGGGUUUCGGUGGCACAGUGCGGGGCAGCACAGAUCUGUGCUACAGCUCUCGGCCCUACCCAGAGCAGGAUGGCCCUAACCUAAUUUUUUUGUUUGUUUGUUUGGAGAUGGCGUCUCACUCUGUCGCCCAGGCUGGAGUGCGGUGGCACGAUCUUGGCUCACUGCAACCUCCGCCUCCUGGGUUCAAGUGAUUCUCCUGCCUCAGCCUCCUGAGUAGCUAGGAUUACAGGCACCCGUCACCACACCCGGCUAAUUUUUGUGUUUUUAGUAGAGACACAGUUUCACCAUGUUGGCCAGGCUGGUCUUGAACUCCUGACCUCAGUG